rnacentral:rRNA from 1 species
CGACUGCGCAGCUCGCCCACGCUCGGUCGCUCGCCCACUUGCCGGCGACGCCUAGCAGCUCCCCCACGCCGAGCCGCGGCUCCCCCGCGCCGCCCUGCCGCGCCGCAGCUCGCCCGCGCAGCUCCCCCGCCUAGUUCUCUCCUCCCUACCCUGCAAAUACUGCUUCCGCCGCGCCACAGCUCCCCCGCGAAGCUCAAGGAACGGCUUUGCCCCUUCCUUGAGUCCCUCGUCAUCGCCUUCCUCGAGUCCCUCGUCGUCGGCUCAUCGCCAUGGCUUGUGCCCUCCUUCCUUCUCCAUGGUGAGCUCCUCCCUGCUGCCUCCAUCCAUGUCCGCCAUCGAGCAGGCCAUGGUGGCGGCCAGAUCCGCGCCUGCUCGUCAGGAGACGGACGCCAUGGAGCUGUUCGUCAAGGUCCGACCUUGGUGAGUGCCGACGCCAAGCAGGGCGUCGAGCAGGCGUGCUCCGCCGGUGAGUCGCUCUAG